rnacentral:rRNA from 1 species
GAUGAACGCUAGCGGGAGGCCUAACACAUGCAAGCCGAACGGUAGAGUUUCUUCGGAAACUUGAGAGCGGCGCACGGGUGCGUAACACGUGUGCAACCUACCUUUAUCUGGGGGAUAGCCUUUCGAAAGGAAGAUUAAUACCCCAUAAUAUAAUGAUUGGCAUCAAUUAUUAUUGAAAACUCCGGUGGAUAGAGAUGGGCACGCGCAAGAUUAGAUAGUUGGUGAGGUAACGGCUCACCAAGUCAAUGAUCUUUAGGGGUCCUGAGAGGGAGAUCCCCCACACUGGUACUGAGACACGGACCAGACUCCUACGGGAGGCAGCAGUGAGGAAUAUUGGACAAUGGGUGAGAGCCUGAUCCAGCCAUCCCGCGUGAAGGAUGACGGUCCUAUGGAUUGUAAACUUCUUUUGUACAGGGAUAAACCUACCCUCGUGAGGGUAGCUGAAGGUACUGUACGAAUAAGCACCGGCUAACUCCGUG